ACUUCUUAUCCUAUAGCAUAUUCCAUUGCCAUAUUCUAUAGAAUUUACAGAUCCUAUAGAAUAUUCUAUUGUACAUAAAUUCACAUUAAAUAUCGAAUGAUAUAUUCUAUAGAACAUGCUGUACACAAUAAUCUAUAGAAUGUUAUACAGAAUGUGACCUUUAUGUAAUAAUUAAGGCAAUUUAAAAUAUAACAAUUUUAGUACACGAUUGAUAUUGGUCGAGAAAUGUGUUUUCAUCUGUCUAGAAACACAAAAGUUGAAUAGCAUCAUAUUCGUAUUUUGUGUGAGGUCCUCUCGACAUACUUUUUAAGUCUUAAUGUUAAAAUUCUCCGCAAAAAUCAUUCGUUUUGUAAGGACAAAUCACAAGUAUUUCACACAUAUCUGUUUCAUAAUAUGCCUGUUCGCAGGUUAGAUGGCGGGCGUUUUGCCCAAACAAGGCCGCAAAGUUAUGUGGGACUUGUGUAACUGACACGCAUAUAUAACGCAUUAUUUUCAAAUUUUGAGCGCGUCUUUGUCAUUCGUUCAACGUUUUAUAACUGAUAUUGGUGGAAUUUAGCGAGUUUUUCUUUCCUAUUUUAACAUAAAAUACGCAGUACUUGAAUUUGUCGAUGAGGAGUAUAGGAGGUUGGUGAAACGCGCUGGAUUAUGUGAGAAGAAUCAGAAGAUUCGGAUUAUUUUGUGAAUGGUACAUGACUAUAGACUAGGAUCGUGAGAAAGAAAUUGUGUCAAGGCCAUCAGAAAAUUUCUCAAAGGUUCCAUUGACCCAUCUACAAUUUCAACAACAACAUGUGAAGCUAAAGUAUUGGAAUUAAGUGGUGCCCUUAUGUCCCAGUGUCUCAAUAACAAAGACUCAACAGAAGGUUUUAAAAGGAAAAGGCAAUUAAUUUAAAGGAUUUUGUGUACUCAAUAUUAUGGGUAUAUUGUGGAGCCGGGAGGUUCUGUCCACACACUCCAUGACAGGAAAGAUCUCCAAUGCAUUAAAGGAGAAGGAUGCCAAGCCACAACUUGACAAGGAAAAAGUCAAUGGCAUAUGUGAGUAUACUUCAAAAAGAUAUGGUUGUCCUGCAUCUGAAGUGUGACAAGUAAUGCUAAGAAAAUGCUAAAAAGAAGUCCUGCGAAAAAUAAUGAACUGAGCUACUGGUCAGACAAACACUUUAAAAAUAUCCAACAUAUAGAAUAAUAGAC